rnacentral:rRNA from 1 species
GAUGAACGCUGGCGGCGUGCCUAAUACAUGCAAGUCGAGCGAACAGACGAGGAGCUUGCUCCUCUGACGUUAGCGGCGGACGGGUGAGUAACACGUGGAUAACCUACCUAUAAGACUGGGAUAACUUCGGGAAACCGGAGCUAAUACCGGAUAAUAUAUUGAACCGCAUGGUUCAAUAGUGAAAGACGGUUUUGCUGUCCCUUAUACAUGGAUCCGCGCCGCAUUAGCUAGUUGGUAAGGUAACGGCUUACCAAGGCAACGAUGCGUAGCCGACCUGACAGGGUGAUCGGCCACACUGGAACUGAGACACGGUCCAGACUCCUACGGGAGGCAGCAGUAGGGAAUCUUCCGCAAUGGGCGAAAGCCUGACGGAGCAACGCCGCGUGAGUGAUGAAGGUCUUCGGAUCGUAAAACUCUGUUAUUAGGGAAGAACAAAUGUGUAAGUAACUAUGCACGUCUUGACGGUACCUAAUCAGAAAGCCACGGCUAACUACGUG